AGAGUUUGAUCAUGGCUCAGGAUGAACGCUAGCGGCAGGCCUAAUACAUGCAAGUCGAACGAGUCGCAAGACUAGUGGCGCACGGGUGCGUAACACGUAGGUAACCUACCUUUUACCGGGGAAUAACGAUGGGAAACCAUCGCUAAUACCGCAUGAGAUAGCAGAGGGGCAUCCCUUAGUUAUUAAAGAUUUAUUGGUAAAAGAUGGGCCUGCGGCUGAUUAGGUAGUUGGGGGUGUAACGGACCACCAAGCCGAUGAUCAGUAGGGGUUCUGAGAGGAAGAUCCCCCACACUGGCACUGAGAUACGGGCCAGACUCCUACGGGAGGCAGCAGUAGGGAAUAUUGGGCAAUGGAGGCAACUCUGACCCAGCCAUGCCGCGUGCAGGAAGAAGGCGCUCAGCGUUGUAAACUGCUUUUGUCCGGGAAGAAUGAUCGCUACGUGUAGCGAGAGUGACGGUACCGGGUGAAUAAGCACCGGCUAACUCCGUGCCAGCAGCCGCGGUAAUACGGAGGGUGCAAGCGUUGUCCGGAUUUAUUGGGUUUAAAGGGUGCGUAGGUGGCUUUUUAAGUCCGGGGUGAAAGGCGGUGGCUCAACCAUCAGCAGUGCCCUGGAUACUGGGAAGCUCGAGUAAGUUUGAGGCCGGUGGAACGGGUGGUGUAGCGGUGAAAUGCAUAGAUACCAUCCAGAACACCGAUUGCGGAGGCAGCCGGCUAAGACUUCACUGACACUGAGGCACGAAAGCGUGGGGAGCAAACAGGAUUAGAUACCCCAGUAGUCC
rnacentral:rRNA from 1 species